UCGGUUCCGGUUCACGGUCGUGCGCUCGCACACCGACCCGGCACC
rnacentral:ncRNA from 1 species